rnacentral:rRNA from 1 species
GUGAGGAAUAUUGGUCAAUGGAUGAGAGUCUGAACCAGCCAAGUCGCGUGAAGGAAGACGGUUCUAUGAAUUGUAAACUUCUUUUGUGCAGGAAUAAAGUGGGUUACGUGUAACCUUUUGUAUGUACUGUACGAAUAAGGAUCGGCUAACUCCGUGCCAGCAGCCGCGGUAAUACGGAGGAUCCGAGCGUUAUCCGGAUUUAUUGGGUUUAAAGGGUGCGUAGGUGGAUUGAUAAGUCAGCGGUGAAAGUUUGCAGCUUAACUGUAAAAUUGCCGUUGAAACUGUCGGUCUUGAGUGCAAAUGAGGUAGGCGGAAUGUGUUGUGUAGCGGUGAAAUGCUUAGAUAUAACACAGAACUCCGAUUGCGAAGGCAGCUUACUGGGAUGCAACUGACACUGAUGCACGAAAGCGUGGGUAUCAAACAGGAUUAGAUACCCUUGUAGUCC